AAAUUGGGGAAACCCCUGUUCUGAGAGUUCCUCCAAUGUCCGGUGAUUUCGCGCAUGCCUUCCAAAAAUAACUUAUUUUGAAUAGAGGAAAGAUUUGCUGCUACGAAAGGUAGCUAAAUUCAAACAAAGCACACUGCCAAGGAUGCAGAGCAAAAAUUAUUUCAAUCUGAUAAAAAUUUAACUUCAGUAAAACAAAUUUUAUCUGAUGCUGUAUUUUUUUUAAGGGACAUUGGCCAAAUAUUGUAGAUCACGG
rnacentral:lncRNA from 1 species